AGUGAACGCUGGCGGUAGGCCUAACACAUGCAAGUCGAACGGCAGCACAGUAAGAGCUUGCUCUUACGGGUGGCGAGUGGCGGACGGGUGAGGAAUACAUCGGAAUCUACUUUUUCGUGGGGGAUAACGUAGGGAAACUUACGCUAAUACCGCAUACGACCUACGGGUGAAAGCAGGGGAUCUUCGGACCUUGCCCGAUUGUAUGAGCCGAUGUCGGAUUAGCUAGUUGGCGGGGUAAAGGCCCACCAAGGCGACGAUCCGUAGCUGGUCUGAGAGGAUGAUCAGCCACACUGGAACUGAGACACGGUCCAGACUCCUACGGGAGGCAGCAGUGGGGAAUAUUGGACAAUGGGCGCAAGCCUGAUCCAGCCAUACCGCGUGGGUGAAGAAGGCCUUCGGGUUGUAAAGCCCUUUUGUUGGGAAAGAAAAGCAGCAGGUUAAUACCCCGCUGUUCUGACGGUACCCAAAGAAUAAGCACCGGCUAACUUCGUG
rnacentral:rRNA from 1 species